CCUACGGGGUUGCAGCAGUGGGGAAUAUUGGACAAUGGGCGAAAGCCUGAUCCAGCCAUGCCGCGUGUGUGAAGAAGGCCUUCGGGUUGUAAAGCACUUUCAGUGGGGAAGAAAGCCUUGGGGCUAAUACCCUCGAGGAAGGACAUCACCCACAGAAGAAGCACCGGCUAACUCCGUGCCAGCAGCCGCGGUAAUACGGAGGGUGCGAGCGUUAAUCGGAAUUACUGGGCGUAAAGCGCGCGUAGGCGGUCUGAUAAGCCGGUUGUGAAAGCCCCGGGCUCAACCUGGGAACGGCAUCCGGAACUGUCAGGCUAGAGUGCAGGAGAGGAAGGUAGAAUUCCCGGUGUAGCGGUGAAAUGCGUAGAGAUCGGGAGGAAUACCAGUGGCGAAGGCGGCCUUCUGGACUGACACUGACGCUGAGGUGCGAAAGCGUGGGUAGCAAACAGGAUUAGAUACCCUAGUAGUC
rnacentral:rRNA from 1 species